UGUGAUUCGUUGUCUCUGUCCCAGUGUGUGCCUUUAAGUGGCUCUGCUAACCUGCUCGUGAAGUAGUAGCUUAACAUGAAUUAUAAUGAAAUACCAUUGUUCCUGCUUGAGAGCCAGCACCUUUGAGUCGAGGAAGCGAAAAGGAAAAACAAAAGAAUGUAAUGUGUGGUUGCAGGUGAGUCAUCUGAACUGUUGGCUGCGUGUCAACUUCUGGCAGUGAGCAGACCCAGACUCUAAAAGCUGCUUACGCAACUGUGCACUAUUUUUUUGAACCGUGGGGAAAUCACAAUACGGUCCAUGCGUCUCUGAAAAAAGGAGCCGUGACGGACUAAAGCAACCAGCAACGCACGGAGCAAUUUCUGUACACGUGUGCAGGCUUGUGUGAGUAAAACAUUUUCUUGUCUCACAUCUUCCAGCAAUAUUGUCUUGGAAGGUGACCCUACCAUGUUUUAAACAACGGUCCACCAUGAAGUACUGAUUCGUCUCUUGUCAGAUGAUUGGUGUAGAUUUAAGAGCUGGCCCUUCAUAUGUGCUCAGUGACCAGUUGGAGUUUCCUUAGAAACAGUGCCAAAACCUCAGGGGAAGUGAAACCACCAUGGAACAGCAUAUUUUACUCGACUAAUUCUUCUGAAUGGGCACAUUUCCAACAUUUCUCGAGAAAAAGUCUGGAGUGUGAACAUAUUAAAAAGUAGCUAGAUUCAUUAAUUUUGUUGUUAAAAGACGACAGGUCAUCAAACAAGUUGUUCCGGUUAGGAUCCAUGUGUGUAGGAACAUGUCGUAGCGAGUCCAUCAAGAUAUGUCAGUCGUAAAAGUGCUAUUUAACUACCGUACAUUGUUUUGCACUCAUUGCCUGCUCACUCUUUUCUGGGCUUUGAGUCACUGAGAACACACGUCCAAUACAUUACUCAAAUGUUAACCUAACCUUUUAAAACAAAAAAGUCAACAUCUUUGGACCGGAUUUAAACAUGUUCUAUUUGGGUAAAAUAUGGCAUCUCUAUCAUGAGAUAGCAAGUUUCUAAAACCCUAAGAGAUCAACUGAAAGUCUGUCCACCCAGACUGAAAUAUCUCAAGGACUUCAGGAUUGAUCACCAUAAACAUUCAUUGUCACCAGAGGAUGAAUCAUAUACGACAUUGGUGAUCCCUGACCUUUCCAUUCCCCUCUAUCGUAUCUUAUAGAGAAAGCACUGGUAGACUCGGUUCUUUCCAAUGCCACACAGCUUAACUCCACCCACUCUGAACCAAUUAUUUCUCAGGCUUGUAAAGUCUUCAGACCCAACCGCCGCUCAAGUGACAUCUCGACAUUCAGCAGAUUUUGUGCAGCACCCUCUGGAGACAAAAAAGGCUUCAUAUUCCCAAAGUUUUGGAAACAGUCUUUGGUGGAGUUCCCCUGUUCCCUCCUGUUUGUCAUAAGGCAUGUUCAUUUGACCGAAAGCUAUAAUUACCAUAACCACAUGCAUCACUUGUACUUUGUGUUAAGUGCUAAUUAUAUAGGUAGUGGUUCCAUACAUAGAAAACACCAACAUGCCUUAUAGCAUUGUGAGCAUGCCAACUUUAGCCCGAUAAAUAUAAAGCUGUGUUUACAUUCGAUAAUGACAAAAUAUAAUAAAAAUAAUAAUAAUAAUAAUCCUAGUGUGUGUUUUUUUUAAUGUCAUCCCCAAUGUAUUUGACACCAAAUCAUUCCAUAAAAAUAAAAAUAAAGGCAGUGUAAAAAAUAACUGGCUUGGCAACACGCUUUUAGGAGUUGAACAUCUACAGGAAAUAUAAUCACAAACUAUAAACAACAAACCUAUUUAAAAAUAGCAAGCGCACAUAACAAUGAAAUGGAAACUUUUGAGCUGCCCUGCGGUCACCGGCUGUGAACAAUCAGGAUAUGAUUGCUGCUGCACCAAAGUGAUGUCACCUUUACGCAUUAUUAACCGCAGCCCGCUUGAUGUGCAGCUCAUACGGCGGCGGCGGAGGCGGACAGACGGCAGAAGAGGCGGUUCGGCUCCAGCGGGACGGAGAGUUUUCUCGGCGAAUUAGGAAACACCAAAAAGCCAAACUCCAUUUUUGAGCAACAGAUAUCAGCGGGUUACUUUGGAUGGAAACCUGACUCCGUCAGCCCGACAAGCAGCAACGAGCGAGAGAGAGAGAGAGACAGAACGAGACACGGAGAGUCCACCGAGCCUCCGCCAUUUGUAAUUAACCACAGGGAACCAUGGUGGCAGCAGUCCUCACGUUGUACUUUGUCGGAACGGCGUUGAGCUUCCUCGCAGUCCUUUAUGGAAUCGUGGACUCCUUUGGUGGUCUGAUGUACGCCCAGGACCAUCACUACCUUAUGGACCUGGACCAGCAGACACGGAGGCCCCUCUCCUCGGGCAGCCACCGGAGAGGAUCGCCUCCGACUAAAAACAUCUGCUCAUGAAGGGAAACGUCUUGCUCCCGAAUUUCAACGGGACCCUAGAUGGAUAUUCUGGCUACCGUGGCAACAGAUGGACAGACGGUACAUCACUGAUGUCUGACUUGCGUCUGCAUUACACAGAUUGUUGGUAUGCAUGCACUGUCCCCCAGAAUGCCUCUGGGAACGUCAUGUGCUAUCAAACUUCAGUUUGUGUUCAAGCAGCGAUAUACCUGAUGAGAACGGUUACAGCACUACUCAACAAUUUGCACUAAAAUGAGAAUGUUUAGUCUUUUUAAUGUCUUUUUCCGAAUAAAAGGAUUUUAUAAAUGUGGUGUUGCAUCGGGUAGAAAUUGAGGCUUUUUUAAAGAAACUGUUUACUGGAGAGUUAUAGUUACAAGCCAGGCUGGCUAAAAAAGUAUUGAAUGUAGUGAAAGAUACUGGAACUGUGAUUUAGGAACUCAGGGUUUGAGUAGGGUAGAGUCUUGCGUUGUUGCCCAACACAGUGGGCAUGAAAAUUGCCCAGCAGGUUGACUCUUUCCUCCCAAACAGGACUGUGUCAAAUGGAAAGCAACAUGAAGAAAUUGAGUUGAAGGAACGAGUCAAGUCAUGUUCAUAACGACUGAUUCAUCCAAUAUCUCAUGCAACGUCUCAUUGGCAGGGCCCCGAGAGAUACGGGUCCCAGCACGGCCCGGAUAGGCGGGAAGGGACAGUUUUAUGAGAGCUCUCGCUCCCUUUUCCAAGGGCUGGUUGCGCAACAGGUGCGCUGUGAUGAGGCGUGUCCCUUUGGUCUAUGAGUAGGUUGGAGAGAACGGAUGAACCAGCGUAAUGUGAACAUGAUCGCUCAAACGAAUGAAAGACGGGGAGUAAUCACCGAUGUUGCUCUUUUAGCUUGUUUGAAUUUGUUGGGUCGGUUAAUGUGUGGAUCAGGCUUAUUGCUUUACGAGUUUAGUGGUCAACGGGAUAAUUUGUAAAUUAGGAUAAUGUCAGUCUAAGGUAAUGUAAUCAUGACAUUGGUGGACAGACAUGGACUCAGUUAGCUGGUAAUUCUAGGUUGUUUUUUUGUACACAAAUUGGUGAAAGAAAGUUAAUCCCAAUCGGUACAUUCGUGACGUAGAGCCGUUACAUGUUCAAACACGGAGUCGGCAAGUUGAACUCUCUGAACCACGAGCGUCUCCGAGUCAUAAGGUUGCAGCAGUGGAAUUCCCCCGUGUGGUGACAGAAAGCGGCGCCAUCAACUCGGGUCGUGAUAUGCAACGCUUCAAUUCCGGGGUUAAGAGCUUUGUCGAAAGGCCACAGAAACAAACUGAGUGUACCGGGAGCACGACGGCCACCCACACACUGACCCGACUACUGAAGUAAGAGUCAGAACAGUAAUGAAUGACAGAUGUGAGAGGAGAUAAGAAAAGCCUCUGUUGAUCCCCAGAGGACAAAUUCAGUUGUUUCAGCAACACAAGGACAGACAUAAGCACAUACACACAGAAAGUUGAACACAAAUAAGAAAACAAUGAAUCAUUAACAAUGAGACUUAGAAUUAUAAAGCAAAAAGUACUCAUGACCAGAGGAGUACUUAUUAGAACUAAUAGUGUGAUAGUGUCUGUAAUAUGUGAUAUGAUACCACCAACUAACAGUGUACAGCAAAGUGGUGUGGGAAAUAAAGUAAACUAGAACGGGCACUCGGUAGAGCGCAUACCUUCGCAUAUCACAAGAUUGGGCAUUGAAUUAUGAACAUGUUGGCAUUAGUUGCAUGCCAAUUGAAUAAAAAGUGACCGCGUUAUGGUAAAAAGAAGAUGUUUACCUUUUCAUGACCUUGACCUUUGACCUGAUCGAUCCCAAAAUCGAAUCAAAUGGUCCCCGGAUAAUAACCAAUCAUCCCACCGAAUUUCAUGCGAUUCGGUUAAAUACCUUUUGACUUAUGCGAAUAACACGCAAACACACAUACAAAUAAAUAAAUACACGGCGAUCAAAACAUAACCUUCCGUAUUUUCAAUGCGAAGGUAACUAGAACAUCAAAUGCAUUCAUAUAGUAUAAAAUAAUAUACCGCUCAGCAUGGCAUUGAAUACAAACAAAUUAGAAAGUAUAGUGCGAUGUAUAAUGAAUAAAACGAGUACUCCUAGUUGCACCUGUGUUGCACCUGGGGUGGGAUAUGCACUGUGGCUGUUGUAGCGGAGUGAAGCGAUCACUCAUCUGAAUAGACGGAAAAUAACGAAACUGUACUACAAAUAUUUGGAUUGAAUGAUUGCAAUUUUCCCGUGUCUCACCACACGGCGAGAAGCACGACCCAAAUGAAAGCGAAUGAAUGCUCCAUAUCGGCUGUGUGUAUAAUUAUAAACUUGUUUUCCAAAAUUAAAGCAUAAAAAAUGUCUGAUUGGCGUUUCAUGGCAGCCCCUCUUGGUUUACCCACCUGUCUCCAGGCCUGCGGGGCAGUAUUAGUCAGCACACCUGGGGCUGGUGUGCUGUGCUCAAAGGCCGGAGAAGCAGACCCUCCAUUACACUCCUCUCUCACACACACACACACACACACACACACACACACGCCGCCAGAGAUCAUUCAACAUUAGGUUUUUAUGUUUUAAAAUAAUGUACCAAAGUAGCAGUUUUAUAUUGGCUGAUUUGACCUCUCCUCCUUUAAUGAGUGGUUCCCCUGAACAGCAUGAAGCCAUAACCAACAUUGCUCGUCAUGAUGUACAUAUUUCUCUGGGAUUUCAUAGGAUAUUUCAGGAAUUUAACAUCUGGAUAACAUACAAAAAAAUAUUGAGGGACAUAUAAACUUGAUUCCAGUUGAAAGGGUCCAAACAAUAUAUAUGAGGUGAAGGUAAGAUGGAAUAAACUCAACACUGAGCAUUGAGCGUAAUCUGUUCCUCAUUGCAAUAUAGGAUACAGUAAACGGUCCCAGGCAACACAUCUGGGUGUCUUCAGAUUUAUUGUAGAAGAAUAAGCGGCUUCAAACAAUACAUGUUUGUCCACACGACUUUCAGGCAUUGGAUUGACCGAUUACUGCAGCCAAUGCUCCCAUUUGUUGUGCGUAAAAGCGAUUUGGCACCAACGGAGAGUCAGUCAGCGGGGAGCAUCGCAGGCGAACGACGUCCUCUUGCGUUCACUUGUUCCACUACCAAUUCAAUCAGGAAGACACAGUGGUCUGUUAUGCUGCAUCACGCCCCCUUCGAGUGUCAGAACUGCUCUAUUACUGCUAUUACACUUCUUUUUUCUUCUUCUAUUUUUCUUCGCACAAAUGAACUUCCCGCUGAUUCCCACAUGUACCUUUCUUGCAAAUGGCCACACGGUACGUUUCCAUCUGACACACUUGUGUAAAAUCCUCCCCGCAGCUCAGGUCACCUGGAUGCGGGCAGAAACACCUGCUGGCGGAGGACGCACUACUUCACGGCACUUUUUUUAUUUUUAUGUGAAGGACCCAAGCUCGUUCCACCCACACUUGCUCUGAGAGCCGAGUCAGUGUGGGCAGCCAUCUCGCUCUCUGAUCUUCUUAUUUCAGCGAGUUCACCUUCUUUUCUCAUCGGAUAUGAUCUGGAGACUCGUGGUCCUCCUGCACGUCCUUCUUCUGGGAGCUGAAAGCAGCAACCGCGGGGGGAGGACGGUGACUUUCCACCGGACUCAGCAGGAUGACAGCCAGGACCGAGCGCGCGCACGCACCAGGAGGGAGACGAGGCCGUUUCACGGACCCCCCUUCACCUCCUGCCGGACCCCCCUCACCCCUGUCGAGCACAAGGUUCUGGAUGACAAUACGCAUGAGACCGGUUUUAACGGCGAUGACGGCUCCUAUGUCAUCCUCACAUGGGUGGGCGACGGCACCGGGGUCGUCCUGGUGCUGUCAACAUUUAGCGCUCCGAUAGAUUCGUUCAUCGAAGGCGGCUCCUCGCGACUUUAUCGAAGCACGGAUUAUGCGAAAUCCUUCCACGACAUUUCCCAUCAGAUCAACAACACCUUCAUAAGGGAGGAGUUUGGAGUCAGCGUUGGACCAGGGAGCUCUGUGAUUCUGACAGCAGACAUUCCGGUGGUGUAUAACCGAGGCGGGAUCAUCUUCAUCUCCACGGACGCCGGCGCGACCUUCAAGUUCAUCCAACUGCCCUUCCACCUGGCUCAGCCGAUCACGUACCACUUCCUGAACCCGGACUACCUGGUGGCACUCAGCAUUGAUGGCGGUCUGUGGCUCUCUCUGGACUUUGGCGCCAAGUGGACAAAAGUUCAUGAUGGAGUGCAUUCUUUCUCAUGGGGGGCCGGCAUUAACUUGUUCUUCAGCCGCAGUCGAACCGAUGCAGUUGAGGCCGAAGAGAGAGGGGAUCUCCUGCUGAAGAGGACAACAGAUCUGGGGAAGACCUUCACCACGAUCCACGAGGACAUCUUCAGUUUUGGCUACAUAGGAGCCUUUCUCUUCUUCUCCGUGAUGGAGGAUCCGAGAUCCCCUCGUGUCAUGUAUUUCUCGUCAGACCAAGGAGAAACCUUCAGUCGAGCGCUGCUCCCCUCUGCCUCCACUGAGCAGUUCUACUCCAUCCUGGAUGGAGAUGUAGAUAUGCUCUUCAUGCAUGUGGACAACCCAGGAGACACUUUCUUUGGAACCAUGUACACAUCAGAUGACCGAGGCAUCUUGUUCUCCAAAUCCCUGGAGCGCCACCUGUUUGACGGGCAGAGGAAGAGCGAUUUCACCAACAUCACGUCCCUGAGAGGAGUCUACCUCACGAACAAACUAGACGAGGAUGGGCGUAUCAGAUCUGUCAUUUCCUUUAAUAGAGGAGGGACAUGGAGACACCUGAACAAACCUGAGAAUGUGGAAUGUGGGGAGCAAGUCAAAAAUUGCAACAUUCAUAUUCACGGAGAGCACAGUCGCAACAUCCGCAUCGUUCCCAUGCUGGCUCUGUCUGAGCCGACGGCUAUUGGUCUGGUUAUCGCUCACGGCACUGUGGGCGACUCUCUGUCAUCGUCGCAGCACCCCGAUGUGUUUGUCUCCUCAGACGGGGGUUACAACUGGAGGGGGACACUGAGAGGUCCUCACCACUACAGCAUAUUGGACUCUGGGGGUCUCAUUGUGGCUGUGGAGGCCCAGCGUGAAGGACAAGUCAAGACUAUCAAGUUCUCCACAGACGAGGGCCAAUGCUGGAAGUCCUACAACUUCACGGAACAGCCCUUCUUCUUCGCAGGCCUGGCGUCCGAGCCGGGGACCAAGGCCAUGAACGUCAGCGUGUGGGGCUUCCGUCCCGAGGAGGACGGCCAGCCCAUGUGGGUGGCCGUCACCAUUGACUUCCAGAGUCUCAUUACGAGAGAGUGUCACGAGGAGGACUACGAGGAGUGGUUGGCUCAUGCGACUGGCGGAGGAGACCUGAAGAGAAACGGAUGUCUCCUGGGGGUCAAGGAGACCUACCGGAGGCUAAAGAAACCGUCUGUGUGCAGAAAUGGCCGAGGCUUCGUGGUGAGCAAGAAGCAAAGCCCCUGCCUGUGCACCAGAGCAGAUUACUUAUGCGACUACGGUUACGAUCGUCACGCGAACACCUCAGAGUGUGUGAGGCAACGCAGCGCUGCAAAUAAAACCUUGGAGCUGUGUCUGAACGGAGAGGAGGAUGAGCUGCUGACAGCAGGGUACCGCAAGGUCCCGAGUGAUCGGUGUGAGGGGGGGUUCAGUCCUCAGCUCGCAGUGCAGACAGUCAUCAGACCCUGUGGUGUUAAACCCAGCCCCGGGCCACCUGCCAGGUCCUCGUCUCCAGUCACACACUUUGACACACCGCUGUUGCGUAUGUUUUUCCCAGCGAGAGAGGCUGGUGUUGAUCCUGGUGUGUGCAGGAGCAGGGGUCAUCGUCCUGGUUGUGAUCGUUUCCGCCGUCUUCGCUGUCAGAAGGGUGGUUUACAGGAACAGGUCGCCAGUGUAUCGUUUCUCCAACCUCCGGAUUCAGGAUGAAGACAACGGCACCACGGCCGAUCUUGAAAGCGCCACCAGCAGCAAUGGCACGGCCUGCCUGCAGGAAUCAGAUGAUGACCUUAUCGAAUGACACAUGAUGCAAUCCUAUGGAUAUAUUGAAUAUUCAAGAUUGGGACCAGCUGUGCUGAAAAAGACUGUCAAAGGCUUUUGUUGGACUUAUCCCUGACGUUUUGAUGGGAGCACCCUUUGUGGCAAGUUCUGAAGAUUUGAAGGACGAGCAUACGAAUGUCUAAUUUAUUGAGCUAGCUUAAUUUCACUGUGUUACUUUCCUUCCUCUCUGAUUAAUUUGUACAAUAUUUUUUUCAUUUAAAUUGCACUCUGUGUUGCACCACGUUUUUAAUUUCUGCUCAAUGUGAAAACAAUCAAGACAAUUCUAAAAAAUGUGCAUUCGGGGGGGGAGAAAAGAAAAAGAAAAUAAUUAAAAUACAUCAAAAGAUACAUCAUAUUAUUACGUGUCUGUUGCCGUUUUAAACACGCCAUGAUCAGAUUGAACAUAUGCAUUGAACGCACAAUAACGCUGGGGGCGCUGUCACGUCUCACAUUUGUUUCGAACUGAGCAGAGAAGAAGAAAAAGGGAGGAAGUUGGUGUGACGGACACAAAGAUCAUGUAAUGCAUAAUGAUGUCUCACUCGUGGGAAACCUGAGAGUAAAAUAAACAUACAUCGAGAUGGCUCAUA